rnacentral:rRNA from 1 species
GAGUGGCGGACGGGUGAGUAACACGUGGGUAACCUGCCCUUAAGUGGGGGAUAACAUUUGGAAACAGAUGCUAAUACCGCAUAGAUCCAAGAACCGCAKGGUUCUUGGCUGAAAGAUGGCGUAAGCUAUCGCUUUUGGAUGGACCCGCGGCGUAUUAGCUAGUUGGUGAGGUAAUGGCUCACCAAGGCGAUGAUACGUAGCCGAACUGAGAGGUUGAUCGGCCACAUUGGGACUGAGACACGGCCCAAACUCCUACGGGAGGCAGCAGUAGGGAAUCUUCCACAAUGGACGCAAGUCUGAUGGAGCAACGCCGCGUGAGUGAAGAAGGCUUUCGGGUCGUAAAACUCUGUUGUUGGAGAAGAAUGGUCGGCAGAGUAACUGUUGUCGGCGUGACGGUAUCCAACCAGAAAGCCACGGCUAACUACGUGCCAGCAGCCGCGGUAAUACGUAGGUGGCAAGCGUUAUCCGGAUUUAUUGGGCGUAAAGCGAGCGCAGGCGGUUUUUUAAGUCUGAUGUGAAAGCCCUCGGCUUAACCGAGGAAGCGCAUCGGAAACUGGGAAACUUGAGUGCAGAAGAGGACAGUGGAACUCCAUGUGUAGCGGUGAAAUGCGUAGAUAUAUGGAAGAACACCAGUGGCGAAGGCGGCUGUCUGGUCUGUAACUGACGCUGAGGCUCGAAAGCAUGGGUAGCGAACAGGAUUAGAUACCCUGGUAGUCCAUGCCGUAAACGAUGAAUGCUAGGUGUUGGAGGGUUUCCGCCCUUCAGUGCCGCAGCUAACGCAUUAAGCAUUCCGCCUGGGGAGUACGACCGCAAGGUUGAAACUCAAAGGAAUUGACGGGGGCCCGCACAAGCGGUGGAGCAUGUGGUUUAAUUCGAAGCAACGCGAAGAACCUUACCAGGUCUUGACAUCUUUUGAUCACCUGAGAGAUCAGGUUUCCCCUUCGGGGGCAAAAUGACAGGUGGUGCAUGGUUGUCGUCAGCUCGUGUCGUGAGAUGUUGG